rnacentral:rRNA from 1 species
UACGAAGGGGGCUAGCGUUGCUCGGAAUCACUGGGCGUAAAGCGCACGUAGGCGGACUCUUAAGUCAGGGGUGAAAUCCUGGAGCUCAACUCCAGAACUGCCUUUGAUACUGCAUCGCUUGAAUCCAGGAGAGGUGAGUGGAAUUCCGAGUGUAGAGGUGAAAUUCGUAGAUAUUCGGAAGAACACCAGUGGCGAAGGCGGCUCACUGGACUGGUAUUGACGCUGAGGUGCGAAAGCGUGGGGAGCAAACAGG